UCAAAUGUUUUUAUUUAAAUAACAAAACACGUUAAGUAGUAAACCAAUUGAAAGAACAAACACAACUUCAAUCUACUAAAGACAAGAAUUUAAUGUUAAAAAUAAAACUGUCAUACAUUUUCUGUGGCUUUUCUUCUUCUUUUUUUUCUUUCUUUUUUAAACUAACAACCCAUAACUGAUCCUGUAUGACUCCUGAAUCUGGGAAGCGAUCUGUAGUGCAAACGUUGUCAGCGAAGUUUCAUUCCCGUUAAUUGUUUUAUUUAGCGACAAACUGGACAUAUUUUUAUAUUUAAGGUCAUUUUAUGUCUGGCUAGGGUUGGGCAUUGCCGGAAAUUGUUGUAUUGUGACUUAAUGCAAUAUAUGCAUGUGCAUUGCUGUACGUAUUGCGGGAAAUGUCAAUAUUUGGUAUAUAUAUAAUAAAUAAAAAUAAAAUAUAUAUAUAUAUAUAUAUAUAUAUAUAUAUAUAUAUAUAUAUAAAUUAACAAUUAAAAAUGUUCAUUUAAGAAACGAUUCUUAUUGUCCAUGUCUGUGUUGUUAUGUUGGUAAGGUUCAGAACACUAGUAAACCUAAGUAAAGGUAAACUGGUAGACUUUAGAAAAAACACACAAAAAAACAACAACAAACAAACAUUACCCCGAACGUUUUGCGGUUACUGUUCUAUUCUGAUCAUUCAGAUAUUAGUAUAAUUACACAUUUAAAAGCAAAUGGCUAAUUUAUAUGUUUAAAAUAUAUAAUUAUAUAUAUAUAUAUAUAUAUAUAUAUAAUGAAAUUGUGCACGAAAAUGCGAUUUAUGAACAUUUCCGAUCAGUGACUGAAACUCCCGAGAGUAUUGUGUAGAAAAAUGUACUGCGAUAUAUCGUAUCGGGACUUGCUGUAAACCGGUAAUACCGCCCAAACCCUAUAUCGGACACAUUAAGUUUGAAGGGACAAUCCUGAGUUUUCAGCCAUUGUAAGGUGUUUCCGACUGACACAAGACAUUUUGGUAACUAAAAUUACACAUUAACUACAUGGUCGUCUCUAGAAUACCAGUGUCUGUAUAUUCAAUGUGUCUGCAGUCGUAUGCUAAUAUUUGUAGCACUCAUUUUUCAUUUGGCUUGGUGAUAUAUACUAGGUACUAUAUACUUGGUAAUAUAUACUAGGUAAUAUAUACUAGGUACUAUAUACUAGGUACUAUAUACUUGGUAAUACAUAGUUGGUAAUAUAUACUUGUUCCUACGCACCAGAAUUAUUGCGAGGUAAAAUCUGGUUUGAGUUAUUACAAAUAUUAGGACGGCAACAACAGACACCUGACUUAUAACGACGCCGAGAGCCUAAAAACAAAAAUAUAUCUUUAAUAUGCAGGUUUAGUCAGGAAAAAAACCCGGCUCUGUUAGUAAGAAGCAUCUUGCAAUGGCUGCAAACUGAGGAGAGUGUCUUUAAGAACCACACAGAUGACAGGUAGGCCUAACUAGCUGCCAGCCCCUAUCGUGGACACAUCCACCGGGGAAUCUUUGGGAAUGUGCACACGACAGUCGUGCUUGAACCUUCAGUGGAUGUAAACACAACUCAAAUGGUUGAUUGAUUCUAUCUGCCAGCACGAAGCUGGUUACUCUUUUAUAUUAGCAGCAAGUUAUUAUUUUAUAUAAUGCACCAUUUCACAGACAGGAUAGCAUUAUACCAUGGCCGUUGCUGCACCAGUACGCCGAGCACUGGCUCGGGCGAGAAAUAGCCCGAUGGAACCACAGAAGAGGAUUGAUCCUAUAUCGAUCGAAUACCAGGUCAGUGUAUUAACACCGUGCUACGUCCAUCCCAACCUUCCCAAUCCCACAGGUGAGACAAGUGUCAUUAAUCAUAUGCUUUCAUACAUAAGUUCUUACCCAGCACGUCUAUCUGCGUUUGCAACCGUUAAACAACCAUGGUCAAUGCGAUAUCAUACUACUGUACAUGCAAAGUAACCACACACACACACACACACACACACACACACACGCACACACACGAAAACAAAUUGCUAAUUAUUUAACAAUGUUUAAUU